rnacentral:rRNA from 1 species
UCUGGAUCGGGUCCCAGAGGCGUGGUCGGGGAAGAGUGGAAACUGCGGCGGCGGAGGAGAGGAGAGGGAGUUAAGAGGAGCGCGGCGGCGUGGAUGAGGCUCGGGGAGGAGAAGGGGUACGGUGGCCGGAGGGAGGAGACGAAGAGAGUAGCAGCCAGCGCCUAGAGGAGCGGCGCCAACGUCACCGGCUUGUUCUGCUUCUCCUCGACGUCGCAACCCAGGCACGUCGCCGGAGGAGCGCCGCCGGUCGACGAGCUGCGCGGCGCGGUGGCGACACCCUCUACCACUUGUGCUCCUCUACGUCCCACCGGAGCGGCUUUCUCCCACCGCGGCCCUUGGUGGGUGACCGCUUCCUAGCGCACCCGACCGUGAAGGGGCGCUACGGGAGGAAGGGACUGAAGCGGCAGCUGUGACGGGGGAGGGGAGGGCAGCUCCGACUCGCACGUGUCGUACCUGCUCGGCUAGCGCUGCUUUGGUCUGGCGAGCUCCGGCCCCACGCUCUUGUUCUACUACAGGUUGUCCGCCUCUCACCGGUACCCUCCUCGUCGGGUGUUACUUUAGGUAAAAGAGAAACACACACACUCCUAGCUCCUUCCUCUACCGCACCGGCGCACCCCUACUCCGCCACCUGUCUCCUUCUCCUGUCUAGACCUAGGUCCGCCGGUGAGCACACAAACUAGACAUCUCACCGGUCUCCUCAUCUGGUUGUAGGGAGAAAUGGAAGGUGCGUUGUGGUUGUACCCAAGAUCUCGACGUGAAUUGAACGAUUGUAGUAGCGGAACAAGAAGGACCGUUACAUUCCUGGUAGUUGAAGGUAGACGUUGAGAUCGUGUUCUCACUCCUACCACUCGGUUGGCUGUUGUGGCGUUCUAAGAUGUUUACCAAGAGUUUCCAAACUACCGCUACUGUACCGCGUCAGCUCGUUCAAAACCAGUUACAAAGUACCAAGUUAGUUGCUUACCACAAUUUUGACUUUUAGUACUUUCGUUCUAAAACUCACUAAGGAUGGAGCUCGAAGACGAAGUCAACAAAGAACCAACAAGUUCAUACGAACCACCAAGAGGUAGCUCCCAACUCUACCUGGUACGUGACCAAUGUAGAAGAGGAUAGAGGUACAAGAAGAAUUAAAAGAAAACGUUACUCUCGACCUAAAUCUGUCGUCAAACACGUCAGGUACGAAAAUUGUAACUUUUACUCUUCCACUUUACUACCCAAACCUGUCACGACCACAAAAAAAAGACCCGUAAUGUAAUGAUUUUACUUGAUAUAAUUGUUAACAACUUGAAGGUAUCGAUUAUUCUACUAAAAAAAGUCGUAAGCUAUACCUUGUUAAAAUGGUAUACACCGACGAAAGUCCACUAAACAAUCCACUGUGGACGCGGAAGUAAAUUUCACGUUCGGCGGAGAGAGUGACACGUAAUAGAGAUCUGCGUGGUGGCAUGUGGCGUCGAUGGCCGAUAUGUAUACUAGGUACACAGCACAAAUCAGAGAGAGAUUCUGAACUAUACGGACGCAAGACUACUAGGCUGUCUGAGAAGUAGAGAAAACUUCUAGUGGGUGGAAAACCUUCUACAAGUAGAAACUAAAGUUGACGACUUGCACAGAGUACACGAAGUCAACUAUAUCUGGGCGAUCGAACGAGACGAACGAUACAAAAUACCGACUUGUGAGAUUAUAACGUCAAGACAAUUCACAUAAGGAAAAAUUCUUUAACCGCGAGUAAACCUGACGUGUUUCUGUAAUUGUUUACUAUGUUGUUCUAAUCAUGCGGGUCAGUGCGUCUCCUCCGCACGGUCCCGCGCGGGGUCGGUGAUCAUAUACAAUAUGCAACGUUUUAACUAUAUUAACCUUUCAUGUAAGUCUAUACUUAGGUUGAUAUAUUAAAAACUACUGUACGUAAGUGUAAAACGAACAGUUUAUGUCAUGCACCAGUUUGAAACUGUUUGUUUUUUUAUGAAGGUUCUGGUGGCGGCGAGGAGAGUACAAGGUUAGGUUUUGGUAGCGACGAGGAGAGUAGAAGUUAAAGUUUUGGUGGCGGCGAGGAGAGGACAAGGUUAGGUUUUGGUGGUGGCGAGGUGAAGGU